rnacentral:rRNA from 1 species
AUUGAACGCUGGCGGCAUGCCUUACACAUGCAAGUCGAACGGUAACGCGGGGGCAACCUGGCGACGAGUGGCGAACGGGUGAGUAAUGCAUCGGAACGUGCCCAGUAGUGGGGGAUAGCCCGGCGAAAGCCGGAUUAAUACCGCAUACGACCUACGGGUGAAAGCGGGGGACCGUAAGGCCUCGCGCUGUUGGAGCGGCCGAUGUCAGAUUAGGUAGUUGGUGGGGUAAAGGCCUACCAAGCCUUCGAUCUGUAGCUGGUCGUGAGAGGACGACCAGCCACACUGGGACGUGAGACACGGCCC